GUUGCUGUGGUGUAGUGGUUAUCACGUUUGCUUUACACGCAAAAGGUCUCCGGUUCGAUCCCGGGCAGCAGCA
rnacentral:tRNA from 2 species